UACGAGGGGGGCAAGCGUUGUUCGGAAUUAUUGGGCGUAAAGGGUGCGUAGGCGGUUUGAUAAGUCUCAUGUGAAAUCUUCGGGCUCAACCCGAAGUCUGCAUGGGAAACUGUCGGGCUUGAGUAUGGGAGAGGUGAGUGGAAUUUCCGGUGUAGCGGUGAAAUGCGUAGAUAUCGGAAGGAACACCUGUGGCGAAAGCGGCUCACUGGACCAUAACUGACGCUGAUGCACGAAAGCUAGGGGAGCAAACAGG
rnacentral:rRNA from 1 species